rnacentral:rRNA from 1 species
GAUCUUUAUUUUUAUUUUUUAUAAUUUAAAAAGAAUAAUAAUUUUUAUAAUAAAAUUAAAAAUUUUACUGGGGUGGUAUUAAAAUUUAAAGAACUUUUAUAAUUAUUUUACAUUAAUAUAUGAAUAAUUGAUCCAAUUUUAUUGAUUAAAAAUUUAAGUUACCUUAGGGAUAACAGCGUAAUUUUUUUUUAGAGUUCAUAUCGACAAAAAAGAUUGC